GUUAUUGGGUUCAUUGGAAGGUUGGAUCACCAGAAGGGUGUUGAUCUCAUAGCUGAGGCGGUUCCCUGGAUGAUGGGUCAAGAUGUGCAACUGGUCAUGUUGGGUAGUGGUAGACAAGACUUGGAAGAUAUGCUUAGAAAAUUUGAAAGCCAACAUACUGGCAAAGUAAGGGGAUGGGUUGGUUUUUCUGUGAAGACGGCUCACAGGAUAACAGCCGGUGCAGAUAUUUUGCUCAUGCCAUCAAGAUUCGAACCGUGUGGGCUAAACCAGUUAUAUGCUAUGACCUAUGGUACAGUUCCUGUUGUACAUGCUGUUGGUGGACUGAGAGAUACAGUGCAACCUUUUGAUCCAUUUAAUGAGUCAGGGCUUGGGUGGACGUUUGAUAGUGCUGAAUCAAAUAAAUUGAUAAAUGCAUUAGGGAAUUGCUUGCUCACUUACCGACAGUACAAGAAGAGCUGGGAAGGACUGCAGAGAAGAGGGAUGACUCAAGACCUCAGCUGGGACCAUGCUGCUGAGAAAUAUGAGGAGAUUCUUGUUGCAGCCAAGUAUCAGUGGUGAGCGCGAGUGCUUUUCCACGUAGUCUGAGAUCCAAUUGACCCAAAUGCUAUUGGGGAGUGGACCUUUAUUUCUGGAAGAAUGCGGUUGAGAGAUGUUCUUCAACAGGUUGGUAUCUGAUGGUAGGAAGGGUCUAUCAUUUGAAUUGCUAGAAUAAGCAGGCCAGGUGACCUUUUAUGGUCUGCUAUAUAGCUCAUAUGUAAUCAACUUAGAAUCAGACUUCAGGAGUUGUAAUCCUUUCUGGUUUUGUCAAACAUCGGCAGAGCAUGGUUUUGGUUGUGGUGGCCUCCUUGUGGUUUAUAUUAUCUGAAACCUGGUAUCUUUUUACCCCUUAAACCUUGGAAUUGUAGGUAAAAAGGUAAUUCACUAGGCAUUGAAUAAGACAGUGGUGGAUUACAACUCCUGAAGUCUGAUUCUAA
rnacentral:misc_RNA from 1 species